GAAGUGAAUCAAAAUGUUCUCUAAUUAGAUAGUGGUGUUGGUUUUUACAAAUGUAAAAUACUAAAAACCACUGAAUUGUAUUCUUUAAAAGGGUGGACAAUUCUGGUAUGUAGGUUAUAUUUGUUUUUUAAAAUACAAUUUUAAAAAUAAAAUUGUGAGGCUGCCACAAGCCAUUGAUAUUUCUUAGUUAUUUGUAUUAGAUGUAGUUGUAAGAGAGAUCACAUGUUAUAGUCUCUGGAUAAGUCCAUCUUCUUUGAAGUGAGGUAGUAGGGAGAGGUGAUGGUCAAGAUAACGAAAUACAAUAUAGUUUUCUAUUAAUUACUCUGUGCAUUACAUAUUUAAACAAAUUACCGGUCUGAACUUUUAUUAUAGCAAUUAUUAUAGACAGUCUGUGUGGACAAAGUAUGGGUUUAUUAAUCAGCCCUGCCAUUUACUACCUCGCGGCCUUGGGUAUGUGCUUUAACCUCACAAGGCCUCAGUUUCUCACCUGUAAAAGUGGGGAUGAUGAUAAUGUGCACUUUAAGGGCAGAGGAUAUGUAUAAAGAAACGUUUUCCUUGAAGAAAACAAACCUGAAAACCAGGAAAGUUACUACUCAAGAGCAGCGAUCUUAAUCAGUGUGCCACAAGAAUUUUUAAAACAUGCCAUACCUGAUUAUUUAGUCUGGGAGCCUGGCCUCUUUUCCCAUAGACUGUGAAAUAAAAGACACCAGCCAACACUACGAUCGUCAUAGGUGUGAAGGAAUCAAAAUUAUACCUACUUUUUGGUCAGAUUAGAAAAAAUAUAUGUAAGUUUUGGCGUGCUACAGAAUUUUAGUAGUUAGUUGAUAUGUGCCAGGAAAUGAAAAAGGUCAAAAAUUGCAGCUCAAGGGAAAUCUCCAUGUAGGAUGGGGACUCUCCAGACAACAACCACAAAAGCCAUUAGCCCUCUGACCUCAGCUUAGACUAAAGACCCCGUCAAGGCAGAUGGACACCUUUAAACAAGACUUUACUGACCAUGUGUCACAGGGAAAUCCACCAUGAAUCUGGACAAGAUAAGCCUUCUACUUGGGGACCACAGAACCUAUCUAUUUAACUGGGCAUCCAGGGAAAUGAGGCUACCCAGGGGAAUUGGUCCUCCUUACUUCUGGCCUCAUGCCUUUUGCUGAGGAAUAGUUACCUGCCUCUCCCAAAAUCCAGUCAGAGAGGGAAGCACAAUAGCAAACCUUAUCUAUUAUUGAUUUUUUUUUUAGGUUAAUAGCUCAUGAGGAACUUUAUUUUUCUUUUAUUAUUUAAAGUAUUACAAAUAGUGCUACAUAUGUUGCCUUUUUCCCCCAUUGACCUCCUGCCAGCCUCCCCCAACCCUUGGCAAAUGCCCUCACCUCCCUAGUGUCUGUGUCCAUUGCUUAUGCUUAUAUGCAUGCAUACAAGUCCUUUGGUUGAUCACUUACCCCCCCCCCGCCCCACCCUCCCCUACCUUCCCACUAAAGUUUGACAGUCUGUUUGAUGCUUCUUUGUCUCUGUAUCUAUUUUUGUUCAUCAGUUUGAUGUUCAGUUCAUUAUAUUCUACAAAUGAGUGAGAUUAUGUGAUAUCUUUCUCUGACUGGCUUAUUUCACUUAGCAUAAUGCUCUCCAGUUCCAUCCAUGCUGUUGCAGAUGAGUGAAGAAAAGAGAGGGGGAGAGAGAGAGGAACAUCUAUGUGAGAGUGAACCACUGAUCAGCACGUGCCCAACUGGGGAUUGAACCCACAACCUGGGAGUAAAUGAAAUGUUCUAAAUUUAGAUAGUGAUGUUGGUUUUACAAGUCUGAUGUACAAAAAACCACUGAAGUGGACACUAAAGAGAUGAAUUUUAUGUUGGCAGGAAAGAUUAUUGGUGGCUGAGCCAGAGGCCUGGAGAAGAAAAAGCACCCGGUUUGAGCAGCCAGUAAUUCCUGUCUGGCUAGAGACACAAGAAAAGAAGCAGUCCAAAUUUUAGUUAAGAAACUACAAGGGAGGUUGCUCCAUUUGGAACAAAACAGGAAGAAAACAGUUUCAUCUUUGGCUGCCACAACCAGGCUCUGUCCACUCUGGAAAUACUACUGUAAAAGCCUAAGGUGAUCCUCAUGCUUCAUUCACACAAUUACUCUGCCCUCCUUUCACACAGUUCUAACGCCACAAACCCGCUCACAGCUACCUGCCCAGCUUCAUUUCUGCUUUCCUUCAUUCAACAAAUAUUUACCAAGCGCUUACUUUUUGCCAGGUAUAGCACCAGCACUGGAUAUGGCAGCAAAUAAUUCUCAAUAUAUGUCGUAGUGUCCAGUGUUGAGUUGAAGGAUUUCUAUUGGACUGUUUGUAGCGUGGACCCUAAGAAAGAAGAUACCUACAAAAAAAAAGGCUCCCAGUGGCUACCUGGGCUCAAAUUGAAAACAAACAAAAGAACACCAGAACCUAGGAGCCAUUCCUACCCAGGGGCCUCCCUUACAAACUGCACUUCAGGGAGAAGUCUGCACUGAACUGCCUGCCUGCGCUGUAUUUCUGCCAGCUGAGCCAAUCCUCAUAAAGGAGUUCCUGGAAUCCUAUUUCCGCCAGUAGGACUGAGGCUUUCCCCAUUUAAUCAGAGCUACACACCUAUAUCCCAAUCAGCUUCUUCACUGACCAAGGUGACUCCACUCUGAGCUAUCUGGACAGUGCCUUUCGGACCAAUCAAACUGUGUGGAUUUGGAGUCUUCAUUUGCAUGAGGACAGACCAGUCAGGGAACAGGGCGGGGACCUCUGUCUAUAUAAGUCAGCUCUCCUCUCUGAGGGUGCACUUUCCCUUUUCACUAAAGAGUGGUUCCCUGC